ensembl:lncRNA
GGCACACAUGACUGCACAGAGUCCGAGGAUUGAACUCUGGCCGCUCUGGACAUUGACCCCUGAGAAAGCCAACCAUGCUAGAUUGGACACUUCCAAGGAGCCUUUAAAGUUGGGGAGCUUAAGUAUCUUUCUAGGUGACCUGGGGGCUUACGGUGAGAGGGACAGUUGAUUGACUUUACAAUGGUAAGAAAGGAAAAUGAGGAGUUCCAGACAGGAAGAACAGUGAGGGGCUGAUGCUUUUCAAAGGAUGCAAAAGGGAAAAACCUAGCCCAGGGUUGGACCACUUAGGUAGAGGACUUUAGCCCAAGGCGAGAAACCCUUGGCACCAGAGAUACUUCACCUCUGAUGAGAUUAGCUAUUGCCACCCAAACUACCAGGAUGUCUAUUGUUAGCCUGAGACCUGGGAAGUAGGACCUUCCCUCAGGGGGAAAACUCUCCCGUGACCAGGUCAAACCUGGGGUUUCUACCUCCCAACUCAAUAAACUGGGGAUCACCAAAUCCCUCCAAGCUACAAGUUUGGGGACUUCCAGAUUCCACGUUGAUAGUGUUCAGGAUCAGAUACCUGCUCUAGAACAGAAGUGUUUGUCCCCAAUGCAGGAACUUGCUAACCUUCCUAAGGCAGAUCAGAGCACUGCGGGCUCAGCGCUGGCUUCCUCUGCAGCUCCAGUCUGGGCAAUCUAGACCUUGCCAGGGUUCAAGGUUUGUGCCUUUUCAGCUCCACAUUCUUCCAUGGACAGGGACCCCCAUGUCCAGCUCCUUACUUGUGAAGCAGGGGGAAUACACUCAAUGGGGCUCUGAGGAUGCCUGGCGCUCUCCAAGGUCUCAUCUUCCCUGAGCUGCCUUUCUGCAGACUGAGAGAGAAGGUCUGAAUGAGUACUAUGCUCUGCAAAUCUGAGACUGUCACCCCAAGCAGAAUACUUGGAAAACUUCUAAUCCCUCUUGUGAGAUUCCUACAGAUACUUCCCUUCUUCAAAGGCCUGUCAGAUAUUCAAGACCCCAAUGAUUGGCCAGGCCUGACCCACAGGGAAUUGAGGCAACUAACCAGAGGUUACACUAAUAAGGAUGUACCAAAAGGCUAAACAUUCCAAGUUCUUUAAGGGGCUCCUUGCCAGCACAAGACAGUCACCAGAUCCAGCAGAGCCAAGAAUGUACUAAAAAGCACUUGUCAGCAGCUGUUCCCAGCACUCCUCCCCAGCUCGGCUCAGUGUUUUCUGUUUCAAGAAAGGAGAAGGGCGAACGACUCCGGCUGGAGUGGGUGCUUCAAGUUCUUGGUCAUGAACCCGCUGCUAAUGAUGGGAUCCCCGACUGGAGCUAGAAAGGCUCUUGGAAGUCACCUGAUUUGACUCAUUUUCCAGACAAGAAGCCCAAGGGAUGGACUCGCCUGGCCAGGGCGGCCCUAUCACCCUGAUGGUCCGUGUCACAUCGCAUAUGGGCACAUCAUUAACCAUGUUCUCUCUAACUACUCAGCUUUGAUGAAUACCAAGUUGCUGCCACAAUGGAGUCCUUGCAAUCUCUCCUCCAGGGCAGGCCGUGUUCGGGCUUUUGGUCUUUGUACCCCCCACAUCUACGGGCACACAGCAGAUGCUUCAUAAGUUUUUGUCUAAUUAAAUUCAAAUAAAAAUUCAUGAGGGCUGAUUUGUACCUUUAAG